rnacentral:rRNA from 1 species
GCGUUACUCGGAAUUACUGGGCGUAAAGCGUGCGUAGGUGGUUCGUUAAGUCUGAUGUGAAAGCCCUGGGCUCAACCUGGGAAUUGCAUUGGAUACUGGCGGGCUCGAGUGCGGUAGAGGGUAGUGGAAUUCCCGGGGUAGCAGUGAAAUGCGUAGAGAUCGGGAGGAACACCAGUGGCAAAGGCGACUACCUGGACCAGCACUGACACUGAGGCACGAAAGCGUG